rnacentral:rRNA from 1 species
AGAAUCAACGCUGGCGGCGUGCCUAACACAUGCAAGUCGAACGCGAAACGGGAGCAAUCCCUGAGUAGAGUGGCAAACGGGUGAGUAACACGUGGGUGACCUGCCUUCGAGUGGGGGAUAACGUUCCGAAAGGAACGCUAAUACCGCAUGACAUCCUGCUCUUUGAAUAGGUGGAGAUCAAAGCUGGGGAUUCGCAAGAACCCGGCACUUGAAGAGGGGCCCGCGUCUGAUUAGCUAGUUGGUGAGGUAACGGCUCACCAAGGCAACGAUCAGUA